rnacentral:rRNA from 1 species
GCGCGAAACCUUCGCAAUGCGCGCAAGCGCGACGAGGUUAUUCCGAGUGAUUUCCGCUGAGGAAAUCUUUUCUCAGAUCUAAAAAGUCUGGGGAAUAAGGGGAGGGCAAGUCUGGUGUCAGCCGCCGCGGUAAUACCAGCUCCUCGAGUGGUCAGGGCGUUUAUUGGGCCUAAAGCAUCCGUAGCCUGCUCGGUAGGUCUCCUGUUAAAUCCAACGGCUCAACCGUUGGUCUGCAGGAGAUACCGCUGGGCUAGGAGGCGGGAGAGGCGGACGGUACUCCGAGGGUAGGGGUAAAAUCCUUUGAUCCCCGGAAGACCACCAGUGGCGAAGGCGGUCCGCCAGAACGCGCUCGACGGUGAGGGAUGAAAGCUGGGGGAGCGAACCGGAUUAGAUACCCGUGUAGUCC